rfam:Rhinocladiella mackenziei CBS 650.93 unplaced genomic scaffold supercont1.8, whole genome shotgun sequence.
GAUAACGUGGCCGAGUGGUUAAGGCGUGAGACUUGAACGGUGCUUUUGCACUGGCUCGGAAGGCUCUCGCAGCCUUGCGAUGUUUGAAUAUUCUUGAUAUCUCAUGGGUUCGCCCUCGCAGGUUCGACUCCUGUCGUUAUCG